AAGGCUUUACCUUAAUUAAAGGGUCUGAUUUGCAUUCAGAACAUGUAGACUAACAUCUACAAGUCUUC
rnacentral:tRNA from 1 species